rnacentral:tRNA from 1 species
CUUUUUUAUAGUGUAAAGAAACACAUUACAUUUUCACUGUAAAACUGAAGACCCUCUUCUAAAUAC